rnacentral:rRNA from 1 species
AUAGUGGUACCAAGGUCUCCGUUGGUGAACCAGCGGAGGGAUCAUUACCGAGUUUACAACUCCCAAACCCAAUGUGAACGUUACCAAACUGUUGCCUCGGCGGGAUCUCUGCCCCGGGUGCGUCGCAGCCCCGGACCAAGGCGCCCGCCGGAGGACCAACCAAAACUCUUAUUGUAUACCCCCUCGCGGGUUUUUUUUAUAAUCUGAGCCUUCUCGGCGCCUCUCGUAGGCGUUUCGAAAAUGAAUCAAAACUUUCAACAACGGAUCUCUUGGUUCUGGCAUCGAUGAAGAACGCAGCGAAAUGCGAUAAGUAAUGUGAAUUGCAGAAUUCAGUGAAUCAUCGAAUCUUUGAACGCACAUUGCGCCCGCCAGUAUUCUGGCGGGCAUGCCUGUCCGAGCGUCAUUUCAACCCUCGAACCCCUCCGGGGGGUCGGCGUUGGGGAUCGGCCCUGCCUUGGCGGUGGCCGUCUCCGAAAUACAGUGGCGGUCUCGCCGCAGCCUCUCCUGCGCAGUAGUUUGCACACUCGCAUCGGGAGCGCGGCGCGUCCACAGCCGUUAAACACCCAACUUCUGAAAUGUUGACCUCGGAUCAGGUAGGAAUACCCGCUGAACUUAAGCAUAUCAAUAAGCGGAGGA